UGGGGAAUAUUGCACAAUGGGCGCAAGCCUGAUGCAGCAACGCCGCGUGAGUGAAGAAGUAUUUCGGUAUGUAAAGCUCUAUCGGCAGGGAAGAAAGGCCCUUUAAGGGAGAUGACGGUACCUGACUAAGAAGCCCCGGCUAACUACGUGCCAGCAGCCGCGGUAAUACGUAGGGGGCAAGCGUUAUCCGGAUUUACUGGGUGUAAAGGGAGCGCAGACGGCAGUGCAAGUCUGAUGUGAAAGCCCGGGGCUCAACCCCGGAACUGCAUUGGAAACUGUACAGCUCGAGUGUCGGAGAGGUAAGCGGAAUUCCUAGUGUAGCGGUGAAAUGCGUAGAUAUUAGGAGGAACACCGGUGGCGAAGGCGGCUUACUGGACUGUAACUGACACUGAGGCUCGAAAGCGUGGGGAGCAAACAGG
rnacentral:rRNA from 2 species